rnacentral:rRNA from 1 species
UACGAAGGGGGCUAGCGUUGUUCGGAUUUACUGGGCGUAAAGCGCACGUAGGCGGAUCGUUAAGUCGGGGGUGAAAUCCUGGAGCUCAACUCCAGAACUGCCUUCGAUACUGGCGAUCUUGAGUCCGGAAGAGGUGAGUGGAACUCCUAGUGUAGAGGUGGAAUUCGUAGAUAUUAGGAGGAAUACCGGUGGCGAAGGCGGCCUUCUGGACCAUUCUUGACGCUGAGACGCGAAAGCGUGGGGAGCAAACAGG